CCUACGGGCGGCAGCAGUGAGGAAUAUUGGUCAAUGGACGCAAGUCUGAACCAGCCAUGCCGCGUGCAGGAAGACGGCUCUAUGAGGGGUAAACUGCUGUUGUACGAGGGUAAACGCAGAUACGCGUAUCUGUCUGAAAGGAUCCUACGAAUAAGGAUCGGCUAACUCCGUGCCAGCAGCCGCGGUAAUACGGAGGAUACAAGCGUUAUCCGGAUUUAUUGGGUUUAAAGGGUGCGUAGGCGGUCGGAUAAGUUAGAGGUGAAAUCCCGGGGCUCAACUUCGGAAUUGCCUCUGAUACUGUUCGGCUAGAGGGUAGUUGCGGUAGGCUGAAUGUCUGGUGUAGCGGUGACAUGCUUAGAGAUCAUACAGCACACCGAUUGCGAAGGCAGCUUACCAAGCUACUUCUGACGUUGAGGCACGAAAGCGUGGGGAGCAAACAGGAUUAGAUACCCGAGUAGUC
rnacentral:rRNA from 1 species